rnacentral:rRNA from 1 species
GAUGAACGCUGGCGGCGUGCCUAAUACAUGCAAGUCGAACGAAUCUCUUUUAGAGAUGAGUGGCGAACGGGUGAGUAAUACAUAGGUAACCUGCCCCUGUGCGGGGGAUAACAGGAGGAAACUCCUGCUAAUACCGCAUAGCCAUGAGCACCGCAUGGAGCUCAUGCCAAAUAUCCUUUAUGGGAUAGCGCAGGGAUGGACCUAUGGCGCAUUAGCUGGUUGGCGGGGCAACGGCCCACCAAGGCAACGAUGCGUAGCCGGCCUGAGAGGGCGGACGGCCACAUUGGGACUGAGACACGGCCCAGACUCCUACGGGAGGCAGCAGUAGGGAAUUUUCGGCAAUGGGGGAAACCCUGACCGAGCAACGCCGCGUGAGCGAAGAAGGCCUUCGGGUCGUAAAGCUCUGUUGUAAAGGAAGAACGGCGCAUACAGGAAAUGGUAUGCGAGUGACGGUACUUUACCAGAAAGCCACGGCUAACUACGUGCCAGCAGCCGCGGUAAUACGUAGGUGGCGAGCGUUAUCCGGAAUCAUUGGGCGUAAAGAGGGAGCAGGCGGCCGCAAGGGUCUGUGGUGAAAGACCGAAGCUAAACUUCGGUAAGCCAUGGAAACCGGGCGGCUAGAGUGCGGAAGAGGAUCGUGGAAUUCCAUGUGUAGCGGUGAAAUGCGUAGAUAUAUGGAGGAACACCAGUGGCGAAGGCGACGGUCUGGGCCGCAACUGACGCUCAUUCCCGAAAGCGUGGGGAGCAAAUAGGAUUAGAUACCCUAGUAGUCCACGCCGUAAACGAUGGUCACUAAGUGUCGGGGGUCAAACCCCGGUGCUGCAGUCAACGCAAUAAGUGACCCGCCUGAGUAGUACGUUCGCAAGAAUGAAACUCAAAGGAAUUGACGG